rnacentral:lncRNA from 1 species
AGUAGUACAUGUAUGUAGUUAUGGUGAUAGUGAUACUAACCAGACCAAGCUACUUCAAUUGUUUUACUAAGUUCUAGAAAUUCUCCAUAUACGGCAAGAGCCAACCGGACGUCUUUGUCUAGCCUGACUUGGGACGACUUCUUUGCAACUGCGGGUUAGAAAGUUCCACAUGUGAUUGGAAUUCAGUGCGAAAAACUGCUGGUUAGAAGUUCAUCUUCGCCCCUAGAAAGAAAUUUGUCUUGUAAAGGUUGAAGCUAAUGGGCUAGGAAGCUUUAUAAGAAAUUUAUUUGCAUGUUCAUUGAAAAAGUUUACCGUGAAAAUGUCUUGCUAAAGAAAUAUCUCUUGUGCACUUAUUUAUUCACCUGAAUAUUUGGUUUGAUUCUCAGGUGCGAAAUGUCUUGCUAAUCAAAGUUUGGUUUGAUUCUCAGGUGCGAGAAAUAUCUCUUGUGCACUAGUGGUUGGCUUCUCCCAGCAGUAAAUGUAGUCGGAUUCAGCAGCUAGCUCUUCCUCGAGCAACCAUUUGGAGAACUUUAUUGUCUUCUUGUGAUGGUGAUUGAUUUUAGGAUCAGUAAAUUUGAUGUUGGUAGCUAGCUUGCGUAUGGAACCUGCAAGUUCAAUAUUGGUAUUAGAUUCAUUUUUUGUUGUAUAAAUGUCCCAGUGUUCACAUUUAUUUGGGUAAAAGUUUAUUUUAGUUCAGCUACAGAAACCAUGUAGGUUCAGUGAUGAUGAUACCAUAAGUUCGGACAAGAAAAUUUAUGUAUAUGAUGAGAUGAUUGCUACUUCUUCAAAGAAGGUAUAGUACAUGACAGCUUGAUGUGCAUACAAGAAUAAAAAAUGGUUUGAAUCAAAAAUAUUGAUAAGUACGAAUUAAAAACAAUGAUCAGUUUGAAAAAUAAAAGAACAUUAGUUUUUGGUAUUCUGAGACGUUGACGUCCAAGUUCUGCAACUGAUCCGUCCAGAUGGGACAAUGAGGUCAGUCCAGCAGGCGCAUCUCAAGUGAAAUGUUAGUGAGCCGCCCACUCAGCCCCAUGCCUCUCCGCCACACGUCGUGCCAUGCCGGCUUGCCAUCAACCACGUUGUGGCUCAGCCCUGCAGUGCUUCCACGAUCAUCACACGUAGCUUCCUUCUAUCAUUGCCCUCGCCCUGCUCUCGUGCAUAUUAGCAUUGUAAAAACACAGCAAGUUCACAAAUAAAAAAGUUGUAAGUUCAACACGACGUCCCAAAUAAGUUUGAGAAAAAAGCUCAAACAAAAUGAAAUACAAUGAAAAAUCAAAUGGUAAAAGUUAAGUCACAAAACAAGAGAAUUCCAAAACAUCUUGCGAGAAAAUUGAGUUAAAAAAAUAAACACACAAUUUUUUUCCUUUAAAAAAAUAUCAUUCAGUUCAGCGAUAUAAACCAUGCAAGUUCGGGGACUAUGAUAUCCAAAAUAUAGAGUGAAGUCUAGUAUGUGAAAACAUGCUCAGUACAAACCCAUAUGAACAUCAGUGCUAGUACUCUUUUCUCGGAACCAUUCAAAAUUACUCUGAAAAAUACCUCAGUACAGACACACACAUAGAUCAGUAAGAGUACUCUGUUUUUCGGAUAAAAAACAGCAUAAUGAUUCUCACCGUAUUUAAAAUUACUCUUAAAAUAUGGGAGCAAGUAUAAAGUCAUAAAGACAACCGUUCAAAGUACUCUUUUUUCGGAACCAAUCAAAACUACUCUGUGAAAAAUACCCCAGUACAAACAUAGACAUAGAUCAAUAUGAGUACUCUGUUUUUUAGAUAGGAAAAACAAUACAAUGGGUUUCACCUUAUUCAAAAUUACUCCUAAACGGUUGCGAAGUAGAGAAAACGUUCAAGAUGACUAAGUUUCGCAUUUUCGAUAGCAAUCCAACGGUAUAUUAUUUGCCCCAUUUCGACAAACUUUUUAAAAAACCACAUUCAAAACCAAUUUUAAUCGUAUUUGAAUUCGUAUUUAAAUCAUAAGGAAUUAGAAAAAACUUUCUAUACGCAAAAGUUGCGCAUUUUCCAUAGCUUUCCAACGCCAUAUCAUUUGCGUCAAUCCAACAAACCGUUUGCAAAAAAUAGUGAAAAAUGUUUCGCCCAGAAUUUCACCGUUUUUCAAAUUACUUUUAAAUCAGAUAGAAUCUGAAAAAAAAUAGUAGAUAUAUGGAAGAUGCGGAUUUUCACAAGCUUUCCAACGCCAUCUCAUUUGCUCAAUUCCGACAAACCGUUUGAAAAUUAAGUCCAAAAUACGAUUCACGUUUUCGGUUUUGAAAAAAUGGUUUUUUCAAAACUGCUCUUAAAUAUAAUUUUUUUUGCAAAAACAAAUUAUAAGAUUGUAAUGUGGAUGUCAAGAGCUUUCCAACGAUAUAUUACACGCCCCGUUUCAACAAAAAAAUUGCAAAAAAAAUUGAACUAAAGAAGACGAUUUUUGACAGCAACAGAAAGCAUCAGUUCAACCGCUCAAAUUUCAUCAGUUCAACUGUUUGAAUUCAUCAGUUCAAGUAGGGUAACAGAAUAGCCCAGAUGUAUAUUGUUGUUCUAAGAAUGAUCAUGAUGCUCUUAUGUCCGUAUUUUAUUUUUAUCGACACCUCUAUCUCUAAACAUGUGGUCAUAUUUUUUGAUAUCAGCUUCCGCUUGAGGACAAGCGAGGUCUAAGCUUGGGGGAGUUGAUACGUCCAUUUUGCAUCAUGCUUUUAUAUCGAUAUUUAUUGCAUUAUGGGCUAUUAUUACACAUUAUGUCACAAUACUUAUGCAUAUUCUCUCUUAUUUUACAAGGUUUACAUGAAGAGGGGGAAUGCCGGCAGCUGGAAUUCUGG